UCACAGUACAAUUUCGUGUGUGAUCUAGC
rnacentral:sRNA from 1 species